rnacentral:rRNA from 1 species
CCUACGGGAGGCUGCAGUAGGGAAUCUUGCGCAAUGGGCGAAAGCCUGACGCAGCAACGCCGCGUGAACGAGACGCCCUUCGGGGUGUAAAGUUCUGUUAGUGGGGACGAAACAUGACGGUACCCACAGAGGAAGCACCGGCUAACUCCGGGCCAGCAGCCGCGGUAAUACGGAGGGUGCAAGCGUUGUCCGGAACCAUUGGGCGUAACGAGUGCGUAGGCGGCAUGUCAAGUCAGGUGUUAAAGGCGCAGGCUCAACCUGUGUAUGGCACUUGAUACUUGCAAGCUUGAAUGCGGUAGAGGUAAAGGGAAUUCCUUGUGUAGCGGUGAAAUGCGUAGAUAUCAGGAGGAACACCGGUGGCGGAGGCGCUUUACUGGGCCGUAAUUGACGCUGAGGAACGAAAGCCAGGGUAGCAAAUAGGAUUAGAUACCCCAGUAGUC